ensembl:snRNA RNU6-697P RNA, U6 small nuclear 697, pseudogene
GUGCUUGUUUUGGCAGCACAUAUACUAAAAUUCAAACGAUAUAGAGAAGAUUAGCAUGGCCCCUGUGCAAGGGUGACAUACAAAUUAAUGAAGGGUUCCAAUUAAAA